UAUGGCUGUUGGGGGGUUGGGGUUAAAAACAUUAAAGACACUAAUCCUGAAAUUUGGCUUUAUCCUGCCUAGGUAUGAUGCAGAUUUGUUUUCAACACGUGUAUUUGAAGAAAAGGAUGACCAAGUUUAAAGGGAAUUUUGUAAUGGUCUCUAUUUUUACAUGGUAUUCCAUGUCUCCAUUUUUCUUCUCCAGUUUUGAAUUUAAAGAAUUUCUAGAUUUUAUACAAAAGCAAUCUGGGGAGAUAAAGUCAAUAGAAUUCUUCAUCAUUGCUCAAUCUGUUUAAAAAGCAAAAGACCAAAGAAAGAUUCUUCCUAUCAAUGAUCAGACUUUGUGAUAGACUCCUCUCCAAAAAGUUACCAAGACACUGUUACACGGAACAAAGAUUUAAUAAAAAUUGCUGAUAGCCAAGAGUAAUAUGGGAAGAGUAAAAAUAAAUGUUAUAUA